CAUCAAUACUUUUUUUAUUUAUCUACUAGAUACCUAUUUUAUUUUUAUUGACAGAUUUAAUUAAAUAGCAUAGAUAUUUUUUAUUUAUUUAUUGGAUAUCUAUUUUAUUUUUAUAGAUAAUUAUGGUUAAUUUACAUGGAUGGAUCAUACUAAAUCCUUUAUAUUUUUUUUCUCAUUUUAAUUUGAUGAGCUGAAUCAUUCCUAACAGACA
rnacentral:lncRNA from 1 species